GGGUCGGUAGCUCAGGUGGUUAGAGCGCACGCCUGAUAAGCGUGAGGUCGGAGGUUCAAGUCCUCCUCGACCCACCAUUC
rnacentral:tRNA from 1 species